AUGAAGCUGACAUAAAAGAGUGAGCAGAUAGGAGGACCAAGUCUUGCACCAGUUAUCCAGGUAAGGGGUUUGAAAUGGGAUGUCUUGAAAUGAGUAAGCCACAUAAAUGCUAAUGUGUUGUGCCUGCAAAUGUCUCCUAAACAUUUAGUUGAUUCUGGAAAGUUGCCUUAACCUGUAUGAUUAGGCUCAAUUGGAGUUGACUAUGGAUGCAUUGCCUAUGACAAAAGUGCUAGAUGAGAAUGAUUAUCCAGUGGGGAGUUUUGAUAUACUUG
rnacentral:lncRNA from 1 species